AUGCUCCUGGCGCUCUUCCCAGUGCUGGGGAUAAACUUCCUCCUGAGAGAUGUCGAAGCUCAGUCAGUGACUCAACCUGAUGUUCAUGUCACUGUCUCUGAAGAAUCCUCUCUGCGGCUGAGAUGCACCUAUUCCUCCUCUGUGUCACCUUACCUAUUCUGGUAUGUCCAGUACCCACAGCAGGGGCUGCAGCUGCUCCUCAAGUACUAUUCAGGAGACUCCGUGGUUCAAGGAGAGAAUGGCUUUGAGGCUGAGUUCAGCAAGAGCAACUCUUCCUUCCACCUGCGGAAAGCCUCUGUGCACUGGAGCGACUCAGCUGUGUACUUCUGUGCUGUGAGCGCACAGUGUCUGGGGCUAUAG